GUCUCGGUAGUCUAAAGGCUUAGGACUCUCGCACGGAAUGCAAGAGAUCCGGGUUCGACUCCCGGUCGAGGCA
rnacentral:tRNA from 1 species